AUUUCAGGAGACCAGCAGAAUAGGAAUUAAGCUGGAACUCCUAUACAGUUUAUUUUCUAGGUUUGGGACCUCUGCGUACCUCCUGUGGCUUUAUGGUACCUGGUAUUGUUUCCCCAGACCAUGAGUCUCCAGUGUUGGAGUGCCCACUUCAGAAGUCUGUGUGUUUUGCUUCAUCCUGAGGAUCCCAUCUUGGAUACCACAUUACCUUAAACACUGCCUCAGCCAGGUGAUCAAGGUCAACGUCUACUGUGAUAAGUCAUGGUUUUGGUGUGUACCCUUGAUGUGAUGUGAUAAAAAUGGCACUUUACCUCUGUGGUCUUCCUCUGAAAAAUCCCGUAACAGCAGCCUAAUCAUGAGAAGCAUAUCAACAAAACUCAGACUCAGGGACAUUCUACAAAAUACCAGGCUGUCCCUCCCUGAAAUUGUCAAGUUCACCAAAAACAAGGUGAAUCUAAGAAACCUGUUACAGCCAAGAGGAGCCUAAGAAGACAUGAGGACUAAAUAUAACAUGGAAUUCGGGAUAGGAUUGUGCUACAGAAAAUGUAUGUGCUAAUGUGAGAUGUUAACAGUUGGAGAAACUCAGUUUUGGGUAUAAGGAAUUCUCUGUACUAUGUUUAUCUAAAAACAAUUCCAUGGUGAGCAAACUUAAGCAUAGAAAUGUUAAAUAAAUUGUCCAAAAUAGAGAAGUAAAUAGCAGUGCCAGGUUUCAAGCAUAAGAAUCAUCAACUCUGAACUUUAAACACAGCUCUGUAUGGUACUUUU
rnacentral:lncRNA from 1 species